rnacentral:tRNA from 2 species
GGGGAGGUGCCAGAGUGGUUGAUUGGGGCCGCCUGCUAAGCGGUUGUACCGUUUGUAGCGGUACCGCAGGUUCGAAUCCUGUCCUCCCCG